AAAUUGAAGAGUUUGAUCAUGGCUCAGAUUGAACGCUGGCGGCAGGCCUAACACAUGCAAGUCGAACGGUAACAGGAAGCAGCUUGCUGCUUCGCUGACGAGUGGCGGACGGGUGAGUAAUGUCUGGGAAACUGCCUGAUGGAGGGGGAUAACUACUGGAAACGGUGGCUAAUACCGCAUAACGUCGCAAGACCAAAGAGGGGGACCUUCGGGCCUCUUGCCAUCAGAUGUGCCCAGAUGGGAUUAGCUAGUUGGUGAGGUAAUGGCUCACCAAGGCGACGAUCCCUAGCUGGUCUGAGAGGAUGACCAGCCACACUGGAACUGAGACACGGUCCAGACUCCUACGGGAGGCAGCAGUGGGGAAUAUUGCACAAUGGGCGCAAGCCUGAUGCAGCCAUGCCGCGUGUAUGAAGAAGGCCUUCGGGUUGUAAAGUACUUUCAGCGGGGAGGAAGGUGUUGUGGUUAAUAACCGCAGCAAUUGACGUUACCCGCAGAAGAAGCACCGGCUAACUCCGUGCCAGCAGCCGCGGUAAUACGGAGGGUGCAAGCGUUAAUCGGAAUUACUGGGCGUAAAGCGCACGCAGGCGGUCUGUCAAGUCGGAUGUGAAAUCCCCGGGCU
rnacentral:rRNA from 1 species